UACGUAGGGGGCAAGCGUUGUCCGGAAUCAUUGGGCGUAAAGCGCGCGUAGGCGGCCAGACAAGUCCGGUGUGAAAGUCACAGGCUCAACCUGUGAAUGCCGCUGGAAACUGUCUGGCUAGAGUCCGGAAGGGGCGAGUGGAAUUCCUGGUGUAGCGGUGAAAUGCGCAGAUAUCAGGAAGAACACCAAUGGCGAAAGCAGCUCUCUGGGACGGUACUGACGCUGAGACGCGAAAGCGUGGGGAGCGAACAGG
rnacentral:rRNA from 1 species